rnacentral:rRNA from 1 species
ACCUAUGGCCACACCACCCUGAACAUGCCUGAUCUCGUCUCAUCUCGGAAGCUAAGCGGGGUUGGGCCUGGUACUUGGUUGGUACUUAGCACUUGGAUGGGAGAAAUUUUUGUUUCCAUAUGAG